UCCCACUGCUGGAUCCUGCCUCUCCAAGGGCGGGGUCAACGGAUCUGACCCCCGACCUCGGGGUGGCCGGAUCCAGCCGGCUAA
rnacentral:pre_miRNA from 1 species